AGAGUUUACUCCUACCCUGUUACUGUGCUCCACGUGGGAAAUAUCAGAGCACUGAAGCGAGGGGCUGCGGCUACUUCUGCAUUCAGUGGGUUAACAACCCUCACCCAUGCUCCCAGCUUACUGCAGCUGAGACAAUUGUAUUAAAUAUUGGUUUUUGAGAGAAGAAGGAGCCCACAGACAGGAUGAGGGAGAUCUGCCCUGGAGAAGCAAAUCCCUAACAGCCCUUCAGAAAUCAAAGUUGAACCAGACAUAAGGGUCACAUCCACGCUGCUGUUCCAGACUUAGGAGAGACUCACCUUUGACUGAAGUGGCAGCUGGAAGAUGCUACAACUUUUAAUUAAUGAGCUGAGUCCUGACUGCCUGAAGAGGAAGUCACACACUGUAUUUUGGGGUGAUUGCAUCAGCAAGUGCAGCAUGAGCCAGCAGUGCACAGGAGCCAGGAUGCUGCGAGGCAGAGCCGGCAGUGGGAACACGGAGCUCACACAGCCUUGGUGCAAAAUCCUCCUUAAGUUUCUGGAGCCUUGAAACUUCAGAUCUCAGCUGUUCUCCUGCCUCUUGGCAAGUAGUAGGAGAAACAAGAGACUCAAUGAAUAAAGGAAUCUGGGUUUUUUA